rnacentral:rRNA from 1 species
UCCAGACUCCUACGGGAGGCAGCAGUGGGGAAUAUUGGGCAAUGGAGGCAACUCUUACCCAGCAAUGCCGCGUGAAUGAAGAAGGUCUUCGGAUUGUAAAGUUCUUUAAUUGGGGACGAAAAAAAUGACGGUACCCAAGGAAUAAGCCCCAGCUAACUACGUGCCAGCAGCCGCGGUAAUACGUAGGGGGCAAGCGUUGUUCGGAAUGACUGGGCGUAAAGGGUGCGUAGGCGGUGUAGCAAGUUAGAAGUGAAAUACCUAGAGCUUAACUCAGGUGCUGCUUCUAAAACUGCUAUACUUGAGUGCAGUAGAGGAAAGUGGAAUUCCUAGUGUAGCGGUGGAAUGCGUAGAUAUUAGGAGGAACACCGGCGGCGAAGGCGGCCUGCUGGACCGCGACUGACGUUGAGGCUCGAAAGCGUGGGGAGCGAACAGGAUUAGGUACCCCGGUA